rnacentral:tRNA from 1 species
GCCUGGGUGGCUCAGUCGGUUAAGCGUCUGACUUCGGCUCAGGUCGCGAUCUCAUGGUUGGUGGGUUCGAGCCCCGCGUCAGGCU